rnacentral:lncRNA from 1 species
UCGUCUUUUUCACAACCUGCUCCUCUCAGAAGACCCUAGAGACGCCACCUCAAAUUCCCAAGCCGCCGGUGGUGGCGCCACCUCUAAACUCAACCAAAAAUACACCCUGAGCUCCCCUCAGGCUCCUCAUCCCAAAUACCCAAUCCGUUUCCCUCGAAUCUCAGUUAGUUGUGUCGAAUCUUAAAUCAAAACUUUGAAUCAAAACCCUAACUCACCCAAAUAAACCCAAAUUCACACCACACCUUCCCUAGACUUCCCCCAUCUCAUAUAUCUCGUUAUUUUCUGUCAAAUACCACCGAAGUUGGGCGACUUUGAAUCCGAGAGUCUAAUCAUUUGGGAUGUUUGAAGGUUUUUUUUCAAAGCGAGUGACUUCGGGCUAAUAUCAUAGGUCUAUUGCAUAUGAAAUAGACAUAUAAUAUUAACUCGAAGUUAUAUUUUGGAAUUUUGAUUUGAAGGCUUAAUUCAGUAAGUUUUUCUCUCUUUAGCUUUUAGUUUGAUUUGUCGCUUUGUUUGGUUUAAUCGAGCAUAAUUUUAGUUUCUAGUUAAAUCUGAGUUCAUCUCUUUGAUUGUUAUAAUUGAUAAGAGAAUUUAUUUUAAUCUAGUUUUCAGUCUUUUUGUUUAAAUUUUUAUUUGGCUUUGAUUCGUUAUUAGUUUGAAUGCUCAAUCGUUAAUUACUUGUUAGCUUGAUUAAUUUUCCCAUUUGUUCUCUUCAAUAAGAUACUGAUUUAGGACUUCACCUUGAUUUUUGAUGCGUUCUUCUGGAAUUGAUUUGGGUCGAUUGCUUUGUUUGUGAGUUUGUUUGUGAUUGGGUAUAGCUGUUUAGUUUAUUUGAAUUGUUUUCAGUAAGGUUUUAACUGGGGUAAGGCUGAGGUUAAUCGAGGUUGGUUAAAGUCAGUAAUUUCAAUGGGUUCACAAGGGGCUUUUUAGGGAUUGAAAGGGGAGAAUCUUUAGGAUUUGUAAUUUUAAAACAGGGGAAGGGCAGUGUAGGAAUUGUUUUGCUAAAAGAGUGCCCUAGAGGCUUCUAGAAUAUGACUUCAGUGUAGUUUUUAAUAGACUUAGGGCAGUAACAUGAGUAGCAAGUUAGAAAAUAAAGGUUAAAAGCAGUAAAUAAUUAGGGACCAAUAGUGUAAUUACAAAUUGGAGGGCUGCCCUUAUUUGUUCCUAUAAAAGGGCACUAAUUGCCUUAGAGAAGGGUCUUCAAUUUUCAGCUCAAAAAUUUCACAAGAAAUCUUCUUUUCCUUUUGAUUUUUAGCUUCAGAUAGGUCUUUACAUUCAAAUACACAAAAAUACAAAAAAAAAAAUAUACAAAAAUAGAAAACCACAAAAAAUUGAACUGUUUCAUCGACUGUGGGGGAAUUCUGGAUCUUCCUCUUUGGUGUUCUGUCUUAUAACUUGGUAUGGAGGUCUAUUUUUAAUUGAAUUUGGUUUUAUUUCUGCUGGCUUGUGAUUUCUGUUGGAUUUCCAAAUUUCUGGGCUUAUAUUUGGCAUUCCUGGGCUUAUUAUUGUUGUUGAUCAUUUCAAAGUGUGGAUGUUUGAAACUUCACACCCUGUUGCACUAAAGCUACUGCUGACCCCCCUUUCUCUAUUUUGAGUUCAAAUUUCCAGGUACACAGCUCGAUUGUGAUAAGCUAUGAAGUGAAUAAGAAGUGUGAACUUGUUCUGAAGUAUGGAAUGCAAUUUAGUUCAAUUGGAAUCGUGUGUUUGGGUAUAUGCUUUGUUGAUCAUAGUUGAUUUUACAUUUUAAAUUCGAUCUUGUUAGAUGCAAACUGAUCUUGUAAUAAUGGACUAAAAGCAUGUUAGUAUUAUCUGAGAUGAUGACCGUAUUGAUCUUGAACUGUUCAUUGAAUUUUGAUUUUUAAUUGUGGGCAAAAUCGUGUUAGUAAUUCAAGUUAAGUUUUAAUUUAUUUUUUAACAACUCGUGUCCCUGAGUGUACUCGAGAAAUAAAUCCCAGAUGAUGCUAGCUUUAAGUAUUUGGUUUCAAGAAUGGUUUGUAGUCAAAUGAAGUAAUUAAUUAGGAUCUUGUAUUAAUAACAAUAGGGACUGGAUUUUAUAGAAGUCAUGCCUAUAGGUUUCUGUAUUUCAUAUAGAUGCCAUGUCUAUAGGUUCUGCAUUUCAUAUAUAGAAACCAUGUCUAUAACUUCUCCAUUUCAUAUAGAUGUCAUGUCUAUAGGUUCUGCACUGCAUAUCACAUAAAUAACAUGUCUAUAGGACUUCCAGAAUUUUGCAUAUACAUCUAUCACUAGGAAAACGUGUUCAUAGAUUUUUAAUGACAAACAACAUUUCAGAUACCAUGUCUAUAGGACUUUUGCAUUUUUAUUUCGACUAU